AGCGCCACCAUGAUCAAGGCCCGAACUGGCUUCGUCCCCGCGCGUCAGCAACGUUGCCAAGUGUCCUCGACCAUCUGUAACGCUCCUUCUUCUCCUCCUCCUCCACCUCCUCCUCCUCCUUCUCCUCCUCGUCAUCCUCACCCCUUCUCAUCCUUCUCCUCCUUCUUCUCCAUCACCUCCUCCUCUACCUCCUCUAACAAUAUAUCCACCACCACCACCACCACCUCUUCUUAACCGCCCUUUAUUGCUUUAAUAUUCGAUACCGUCUUGUGAUCGCUAUGUAUUACGCGCGUAGGUGUAAACUCGUCUUCUUCGCGCCCUCCCUCGAUUCUUCUCACUCUUUCUCUUUAUUUACAGAUCUGCUCUUAUUUCUCUCUAUGUAUUUAUUUUUCCCAUUCUCAUUUUCCUGUUGUGAAAAUUUAAAUACACGCCAUUUUCGUGAUACGGCCAAUGAGCUGCGGCGCUUCCUUUUCGCGGGCCUGGCACGUUUUAAACUUUUACGCGGGCUUUCCCUUCCUUUUCACAUUCUCUCUCUCUCUCUCUCUCUCUCUCUCUCUCUCUCUCUCUCUCUCAUAUAUUUCUCUGGAACGAACGCGCGUCAACUCGGACAGAAUACUUCUCUUAUGAAUUUUCUUAAACAAAACAUGCGCCCUUCUUGGACCAAGGUGCCGGCCUUGCCCCAUAUUUCUUCGAAAUGGCCGCGCAGAGAGUGGAGUGACGUUCGAUAUCUUGAACGUAGACGAUGUCGGUGUCGAAGGAGCCUAGACGACAACAGGGGCCGCCGACGACGCCGACGGCACGACGCUACUCUCUGCUCUUUUGACGACAACUCUGACAAUGAGGGAGGUGAAGGGAAAUGCAUCGAGACGCACUGGCGUAUACGGAGACUUCAAUUAUGAGUGAGCGAUGAUGCUCGGUGCGUGAAGUACUAUUGAUUCGCCCUGCAGCCAGAAUAGGCAGGCAUCCAUAUUCGAUUUUCAAGCGUGCCCAACUACAUUGUCAUUUAGUGACGCAUACGAACGAACAUAUAGUACGAUACACGUGUUGUCUAUAACUCGUUCCAUUUUAAUAUCUUUUGUAAUUAUCAUAUUGUUUAUGAAUGAAUAAACGACAAAUUGAAGAAACAUUAUA